UAACCUACGGGGGGCAGCAGUGAGGAAUAUUGGUCAAUGGCCGCAGGGCUGAACCAGCCAAGUCGCGUGAGGGAUGACGGUCCUAUGGAUUGUAAACCUCUUUUGUCAGGGAGCAAAGGGCGCCACGUGUGGCGCUUUGCGAGUACCUGAAGAAAAAGCAUCGGCUAACUCCGUGCCAGCAGCCGCGGUAAUACGUAGGGGGCGAGCGUUAUCCGGAUUUACUGGGUGUAAAGGGAGCGUAGACGGUUCUGCAAGUCUGAAGUGAAAGCCCGUGGCUUAACCGCGGAACGGCUUUGGAAACUGGG
rnacentral:rRNA from 1 species